AUGCCUGACAAACUGCUAUUCCAUCUUGUAGAGCUAAAAUCAAUUUUUUUUUCAUUUUUGGGAAGCCUCCUCUACAUACCUCCACCUUCUAACUCCAAGAAGUCCAAAAAAGCAUGUGGGGCUCCCUUGGCAUCUUUGACUUGUAGAAAGUGUAAUAUGGAGUUUCCAGACUAGAACACAAGCUCCAUAAGAAGAGCAAGAAGACAGAUGUUGACUUCCUCCAGCGUUGCUGAUUCACCCCUUCCCCGAUCUUUGAUUUGGGUUGUGUUCCUCCCUAGCAACUUUUCUGAUGUGUUAAUGUCAUUCAUUCUCAGCACAUGACUGACCCAGCAUCUGUUUUUUUCCUAAUGAAUGAAGUACUGGGAGAGAAGGGUAGGUAUUUACUAUUUCCACUAUAUAACAGACUUAUCUUU
rnacentral:lncRNA from 10 species